rnacentral:rRNA from 1 species
UGAUGACGAGACGCUAAGGCGUUGAAGCAGUGUAUGUCAGACUUCCAAGAAAAGCUCGCAAUGUCACAAAUGAAAAAUGCCUGUACCAUAACCGACACAGGUGGGUAGGUAGAGUAUACUAAGGGGCGCGAGAUAACUCUCUCUAAGGAACUCGGCAAAAUGACUCCGUAACUUCGGGAGAAGGAGUGCCUUAUUUAUAAGGUUGCAAUAACAAGAUCCAAGCAACUGUUUAUCAAAAACACAGGUCUCCGCUAAGUCGUAAGACGAUGUAUGGGGGCUGACGCCUGCCCAGUGCCAGAAGGUUAAAGAAGUUGGUUAGUGUAUGCGAAGCUGAUGACUGAAGCCCUGGUGAACGGCGGCCGUAACCAUAACGGUCCUAAGGUAGCGAAAUUCCUUGUCGGGUAAGUUCCGACCCGCACGAAAGGCGUAAUGAUUUGGAUACUGUCUCGGAGAGAGGCUCGGUGAAAUAGACUUGUCUGUGAAGAUGCGGACUACCUGCACCAGGACAGAAAGACCCUAUGAAGCUUUACUGUAACUUGAAAUUGGAAUUGGACUUUGCUUGCGCAGUAUAGGUGGGAAGCGUUGAAAAUAUUCUUGCGGGAGUAUUGGAGCUAUCAGUGAGAUACCACUCUUGUAAUGUUAGAUUUCUAACUUUGAACCAUAAUCUGGUCAAAGAACAGUUUCAGGUGGGCAGUUUGACUGGGGCGGUCGCCUCCCAAAUGGUAACGGAGGCGUACAAAGGUUUCCUCUGAACGGAUAGAAAUCGUAUCUAGAGUGUAAAGGCAUAAGGAAGCUUGACUGUGAGACCUACAAGUCGAGCAGGGACGAAAGUCGGUCUUAGUGAUCUGACGGUACUGAGUGGAAAGGCCGUCACUCAACGGAUAAAAGUUACUCUAAGGAUAACAGGCUGAUCUCCCCCAAGAGUUCACAUCGACGGGGAGGUUUGGCACCUCGAUGUCGGCUCAUCGCAUCCUGGGGCGGUAGUACGUCCCAAGGGUUGGGCUGUUCGCCCAUGAAAGCGGUACGCGAGCUGGGUUCAGAACGUCGUGAGACAGUUCGGUCCAUAUCCGGUGUAGGCGCUAGAAUAUUGAGAGGAGCCUUCUUUAGUACGAGAGGACCGAGAAGGACACACCGCUGGUGUACCAGUUAUCGUGCCAACGGUAAACGCUGGGUAGCUAUGUGUGGAGUGGAUAACCGCUGAAAGCAUCUAAGUGGGAAGCCCACCUCGAGAUGAGUAUUCUC